rnacentral:lncRNA from 1 species
AUGGAAUGAAUCUGAGAUGAGAACACUAGAGAAAACUAGUGAAGAAGCAAGUUGAUAAGAUGCUUGCUAGUUAAGAACCCUCAGUGGGUGAAACCGUUGUCCGAAGUGUUAAUUUAUUGUGAUAGUCUGCAGCUAUUACAAAAUUGAGAAUCGUUACCACAAUGGUGAGAGACGAUAAUUAAGGCACGAACACAGAAUGAUUAGAGAGCUCUAAAAG